UCAUCUUUCUGGAGUGUCAGAUGGAGAAGGAAGAAGCACUUGGGGAUAGCAUGUGGAUUUGUGAUUCAGUUAAAAGAUGCAUAACAGCACAUGUGGCCAGCCACUCGCUGUUGGCUGAUGAUCGUGGAAGGCUCAAAUACACAGCAUAUUCUGUCUCAGAUUCAAAAUAGUUUGGAUGAGCAUCCUUGCCCUCAGUCAGUCUACCUUUGCUGAAAUCUGUCUCAAAUUGUCUGCUCAUCUGGCCACACUUUCUAAAUCCUGAGAGUUUCUGGACUGCUCCGGUGCUGAAAGGAAGCUGGCACAUAUUGUAAAACACUUCUGCCUGAAGAAAGCUCCGAAGCAAGCAAGACUUGGAAAAAGCAGCCAUCCAGGAGUGGUGCCCACUAUUUUACUCCAUCACAUGACUUUCACCAAGGCUGCUAUCAGCAUUGCUCCGUGGAUUGGAGUGGAGUGGCUUUCAUCUACAGCUUCCUGUGGACUAGCGGUCUCGAAGAUGCCCCUUUACUCUCAUGUGGCAGCAUAGCAUGGUGCUGCCAUACCACUGGGCCAGACGUGAUUAAACUUGUAUAAAUGUAGUACAACAUAGUUUAUCCUGAGCUAUGAAGGAUUUCUCAUUAGCGUGCAGGCUCAGAUCUCUAAGCAAUCGCAUGUAAUAUCAUCACAGGAAGAAAUAUAAGAUGUCAAAUUACCAGAUUAAAAAUAAAACAAACUGAUAUUUUCUAGAGCUUUUGCUAAUUGUCACUGCUCUACAACAUUACACAACUCCCAUGUGCAAGUGGACUUACUGGCAAGUUUCUCUGUACGUAACAGAGCUUUGGUUCUGCAAAACCCCCUUAUCUUAGCUACACUAAUUUGCCACGUCAAAUUAGUGUGGUGAAACAAAUUCUAAUUAC